CCGUCAUGCCCUUUCUGGGCGUUUCCUCCCUAAACUGGCCGCAGCCUCGUGCUGCGGCCGUUUUUCUUUCGGGG
rnacentral:sRNA from 1 species